rnacentral:rRNA from 1 species
UACGGGAGGCAGCAGUGGGGAAUUUUGGACAAUGGGCGCAAGCCUGAUCCAGCAAUGCCGCGUGUGUGAAGAAGGCCUUCGGGUUGUAAAGCACUUUUGUCCGGAAAGAAAACCUCCGCCCUAAUAUGGUGGGGGGAUGACGGUACCGGAAGAAUAAGCACCGGCUAACUACGUGCCAGCAGCCGCGGUAAUACGUAGGGUGCAAGCGUUAAUCGGAAUUACUGGGCGUAAAGCGUGCGCAGGCGGUUCGCUAAGACAGAUGUGAAAUCCCCGGGCUUAACCUGGGAACUGCAUUUGUGACUGGCGGGCUAGAGUAUGGCAGAGGGGGGUAGAAUUCCACGUGUAGCAGUGAAAUGCGUAGAGAUGUGGAGGAAUACCGAUGGCGAAGGCAGCCCCCUGGGCCAAUACUGACGCUCAUGCACGAAAGCGUGGGGAGCAAACAGGAUUAGAUACCCUGGUAGUCCACGCCCUAAACGAUGUCAACUAGUUGUCGGGUCUUCAUUGACUUGGUAACGUAGCUAACGCGUGAAGUUGACCGCCUGGGGAGUACGGUCGCAAGAUUAAAACUCAAAGGAAUUGACGGGGACCCGCACAAGCGGUGGAUGAUGUGGAUUAAUUCGAUGCAACGCGAAAAACCUUACCUACCCUUGACAUGUAUGGAACCCUGCUGAGAGGUGGGGGUGCCCGAAAGGGAGCCAUAACACAGGUGCUGCAUGGC